rnacentral:lncRNA from 1 species
AUUCCCAGAAUUCCAUGUGUGAUGCUCCUGGCAUGCCAUGUCUCUUCGUACUAUCGGUAGGUCCUUCGCAUGUAGUGUGUGUGUGUGUGUGUGUGUGUGUUUAGCACUCUAUUUACUUACAUUUAUGGGACAAAUCAUUCCUCCGAAGUGAGCUAAACAUCAUCCUAUAAUUUAAUAUGAAAACAAACAAAAACAAAAAAACUAGCAUUCCCAGAAUUCCAUGUGUGAUGCUCCAAAUUUUUUAUUUUUUUUACAAUUAUAGUGAUUAUGUUAAUUUAGCAGAAAAUGGCUGGUGGGUUUAUUGGUUUAUAUAUAUGUAUAUAUAUAUAUUUAUAUAUAUAUAUAUAUAUAUAUUCUUUUUUUUACUAUUUGUCUUCUAACAGUUUUAAACUGCAUAUAUAUUAAAUAUGCAAUAAACACAAAUAUAAAUUCUAUAAUUGAAAUGAUAUUUUGUUGUUGUUGUUGUUAAUUUUUUUUUUUUGUUAAUUACCCAAUGCUGCUACUAUUUUUUCUUCUACUUUCCCUGUUUACUGUUGCACUGUUGUUUAUGUUAUUCAUGUGUUCCUUUUAUUGUAAUCCUAUCUGUGUCUGUUAGUAAUCCAUCAAAAGGACCGGAACUGAGCAAUGUCAUGGCCCCAGAGGAAACUGCCGCCGGUGACAAGAGUGACAGACAGCGGGAGGAGGAGAAAGAGGCAGACACCGACACUCCUGAUGGAGUCGUUGCAGUACUAUCAGUCGGUCAGAGGAGGGCACGAGAGAAACACAGAUACAACACUGUAGGCUACCAGAAAAAGAAGCAGAGGACAGCUGUGGACUUUUCUACAGUGAGCAAGGGAACAUCUGCCGGGGUGAAGAGCAGAGGUGCAUUAAAGCAGGCACUUUUUAGCCAGGGAGUGUCUGACAAAAUGGCACAUUUGAGGAACGAUCAGGUGGUGUACAGGGGCAGGUGGACGCGUUGA